rnacentral:rRNA from 1 species
UCAUAGAANGUACAUUUUGCCUUUAAAAAAGCAAUCAAAUACAACUUUCAACAACGGAUCUCUUGGCUCUCGCAUCGAUGAAGAACGCAGCGAAAUGCGAUAAGUAAUGUGAAUUGCAGAUUUUCAGUGAAUCAUCGAAUCUUUGAACGCACCUUGCGCUCCUUGGUAUUCCGAGGAGCAUGCCUGUUUGAGUGUCAUUAAAUCCUCAACCCCGUCCGUCGGUCGGGGCUUGGACUUUGGAGCGUGCUGGCGAAGGUCGGCUCCUCUUUAAAUGCAUCAGCGGAGAAAAACAAACCUUUUUUCCCCCUUCAGCGUGAUAACUGUGUUGCGCUGUGGUCGCGAAAGGGUCCGCUCAUAAUUGUCCUCGGACAAACACCGAAUCUGUUUUGACCUCAGAUCAGGUAGGACUACCCGCUGAACUUAAGCAUAUCAAUAANCGGAGGAAAAGAANCUAACAAGGAUUCCCCUAGUAACUGNNAGUGAAGCGGGAAAAAGCUCAAAUUUAAAAAUCUGGCGGUCCUCUGGCCGUCCG